CCUCUGUUAACUUUGGCUCUAUUUCUCUCUGUCCCCUCUCUUUGUUCAGGCGAACUCAUCGGAGAUUUCAUUAUUAACUGCAGCAAACCCAACCCUUCAGGCUGCUGCCUCAAUCUUCUCGUCAUCCUCCACCUCCGGCAAAGUUCAACAAUCCCCGCUUGUUGGCUUCCUGUAUUCAUCAGCUCAGUACGUUUUGAUGGGGUAGCAAGGUGCAAGCGAAGGCAAAAUGCAAACUGAAAGUGCUUUGUCAGUUAUUGGACCAAGGCCAAUGGGGUUGUCUGCUGUGCCUCCUAGCUGUCCUCAAGGGCUUGGACCAAAUGGAAAACCACGGACAUCAAGCUUGGAGUCACCAAUUAUGUUGCUUACUGGACAUCAAAGUGCUGUGUAUACCAUGAAGUUCAAUCCAGCAGGGACAACCAUUGCAUCUGGUUCACAUGAUAAAGAAAUCUUUCUUUGGGAUGUACAUGGUGAUUGCAAGAAUUUUAUGGUCUUGAAAGGGCACAAAAAUGCAGUUCUUGAUGUUCAAUGGACUACUGAUGGAUCGACAAUAGUAUCAGCCAGCCCCGAUAAGACUGUUAGGGCGUGGGAUGUAGAAACAGGCAAACAGAUUAAAAAAAUGGCCGAACAUUCCUCAUUUGUGAAUUCAUGCUGCCCAGCUCGGAGGGGCCCUCCACUUAUUGUCAGUGGAUCUGAUGAUGGCACUGCUAAACUUUGGGAUAUGCGCCAAAGAGGAGCCAUACAGACAUUUCCAGACAAAUUUCAAAUUACUGCCGUCAGUUUCUCUGAUGCCUCCGAUAAAAUCUACUCAGGUGGUAUUGACAAUGAUGUGAAAGUGUGGGAUUUGCGAAGGUGUGAAGUAACUAUGACUCUUCAGGGCCAUCAGGAUACUAUAACUGGUAUGCAGCUGAGUCCUGAUGGGUCUUAUCUUCUUACUAAUGCCAUGGACUGCACACUUCGCAUAUGGGACAUGCGUCCGUAUGCCCCCCAAAAUCGCUGUGUUAAGAUCUUGGAAGGCCACCAACACAAUUUUGAAAAGAACCUGAUGAAAUGUAGCUGGUCACCUGAUGGAAGUAAGGUAACAGCUGGGAGUUCUGAUCGCAUGGUUUAUAUCUGGGAUACGACAUCUAGGCGCAUUCUGUAUAAGCUCCCUGGACACACUGGAUCUGUUAAUGAAUGUGUUUUUCAUCCUAAUGAACCAAUUGUGGGAUCUUGCAGUAGUGAUAGACAGAUGUAUCUUGGUGAGAUUUGAAUAGGAGGUACUACCUUUUCUGAUAUGAGGAAGCUACCAGCAGGUUUGGGAACUAGGUGUGGAUUCAUGAAGUUGUAGUUAAAAUUUGUAACCUUCUGUUGCCUAUGGGUGGAACUUUGAAACUGCAAAACAGUGAUAUGCUUGCUUAAUUUUGAUUACCUGAUAGAUGUUAUUGUAAAACUAUGCUGGAUGUUUUGCCUUGUAGACAAGAAGAAGUUCUAGAUGUGAGAUUGUAAGUUUCGGGGAUUCAAGACACUGCUUUAGUUAGGUAUAAAAAAAAAAAAUACAUUUGUAGAUUGUGGCGAUCAGUGAACAGUUGACAUUUAUUGGUUUUACUGUCGACUUUGAAAGAAGCAAAAUGGAGAAGCUGAAGUUAACAGUUUGAA